GCCUCCCAGGUUUACGCCAUUCUCCUGCCUCAGCCUCCCAAGUAGCUGGGACUACAGGCGCCUGCCACCGCGCCCGGCUAAUUUUUUGUAUUUUUAGUAGAGACGGGGUUUCACCGUGUUAGCCAGGAUGGUUUCGAUCUCCUGACCUCGUGAUCCGCCCGCCUUGGCCUCCCAAAGUGCUGGGAUUACAGGCGUGAGCCACCGCGCCCGGCCCGUGAAACUUGCUUUCUUAAAAAAUAAUAAUAACUUGUUAUCUGAAGAAAAUUAAAAGAUUAUCUUUUAAGAGAGAUAAACAUUCUUACAAAAAACUAUAUUUUCCUCUAUCAUCUCUUUAAAAGAAAUGCAAACCAGUUCAUUAUCUUUGUUUUUUUGAGAGUCACACUCUAUUGCCCAGGCUGGAGUGCAGUGGCGCCAUCUCGGCUCACUGCAAUCUCUGCCUCCUGGGUUCAAGCAAUUCUUCUGCCUCAGCCUCCCAAGUAGCUGGGAUUACAGGCACAUGCCUCCAUGCCUGGCUAAUUUUUUAAUUUUUAGUAGAGGUGAGGUUUUGCCAUGUUGGCCAGGCUGGUCUGGAACUCCUGGCCUCAAGUGAUCUGCCCGCCUCAGCCUCCCAAAGUGCUGGGAUUACAGGUGUGAGCCACCACGCCCGGCCUAGUUCAUUAUCUUUAAUAAUGAACUAGACAAUAAACUAAUUGUUGUCUAAAAACUUCUGAAUACAUGAAGUACAAGUCUGAGCUGUCAAGUCAAAAAUGCCAUUUAGAUUUCACAUAUUAAACAGCUAUAGUAGGCCAGGCGUGGUGGCAGGCGCCUGUACUUCCCAGCUACUCGA
rnacentral:lncRNA from 1 species